rnacentral:rRNA from 1 species
AUUGAACGCUAGCGGGAUGCUUUACACAUGCAAGUCGAACGAGUGGCGGACGGGUGAGUAAUAUAUCGGAACGUGCCCAGUAGCGGGGGAUAACUACUCGAAAGAGUGGCUAAUACCGCAUACCAUCAGAUGUGCCCAGAUGGGAUUAGCUAGUAGGUGGGGUAAUGGCUCACCUAGGCGACGAUCCCUAGCUGGUCUGAGAGGAUGACCAGCCACACUGGAACUGAGACACGGUCCAGACUCCUACGGGAGGCAGCAGUGGGGAAUAUUGCACAAUGGGCGCAAGCCUGAUGCAGCCAUGCCGCGUGUGUGAAGAAGGCCUUCGGGUUGUAAAGCACUUUCAGCGAGGAGGCGUUACUCGCAGAAGAAGCACCGGCUAACUCCGUGCCAGCAGCCGCGGUAAUAC